CAGCUCCCCACUCGCUCGUUAAGUGACUAGAAAGAAGCAGUAUUUCCCAGAGAACACGGAAACCAGACAGUGUACCCAGUCUCCAUCAAAUAUACCUCCCCCUCCGGUCUUUUGUUACUUGAUGAAUUUAAUGGAAACCCAACGCUUGGAUCACAUUCAAACCUCCCUCUGUCUCCCGCAAGAGCUUAAAGAUGCUCUGUGAGAAGCGGCUGUGAAGAGGGAAUGUGAUCGGUUAAAUGCGAGCAGAGCUGAGAGCCUGAAAAGAACUCUACAGCCUAAUCAUGGUUUAUUAAAAACCCUGGCAAGGCUGCUCCUGACUGACAGCCUACCUGCACCCCCAGUGAAACAGCUCAGUGAAGACCACUCCGCCUCUGCCCGGAGGCCCACGGUUGCAGCUAGCAGAACUCUGUACCAAGGGGCAGCGUUUGUACUGGAACUCCAUUCAUCAUGUUUACCAAAAGGAUGCUUGUGAGGACAAAGGCAUGGGGGCUCUGUCUACUGGGACUAUUCCUUGAAACAAAUUCUCCCCUUCAAUCCAUUCAGAACAGUAUGUGGAAGACAGAAGAGUGAAUCAGUGGACAGAACCAACUUUACCAUCAGACAAUCCGGAAUUGAAUCUUCCUUCCACUGCUAAGUCGUCAUCUAACUUCUCUGAACCUCAGUUUCCACAAGUCCAGCAGGCACCUCAGGAUAGGCCUUCUUUAUUUGUUUGUGGUAAGAAUUAAGUGAGAUAACCUCUGUAAAGGUCUCUCCAUGGUGCCUGACUUUGACAGACCUUGAAGAAACACAAGGAGAUGGAGGGUAGGUCAAGUUCACUGAGGUACUGUGGAGACCUUCCCUCCGUGGCCCUUAUCUUCUCGGAAUCGUGAAACUGAAGGGGAGCUUAGGGACCACAUGCUUGCUUCUCAAAUGUUAGUGCACGCCUCAAUCACCUAAGGAACUUUCUGUUUUAAAAUCUAGAUUCUUGGGCCCUUCCCCCAUGUCUACUCAUUUAGAACCUCUGGGAUGGAUUUCUGACCUUAGUAUGUUUAGAAAAACAGCUCCCGAGUGAUUCUAGUAAGACACCAGGUGUGAUGCCUUCUGAUUUAACCUGUGCUGUGCUGCUCGCUUAGUCACUCAGUCGUGUCCGACUCUUUCCAACCCUAUACUGUAGCCCACCGGGUUCCUCUGGGAUUCUGCAAGCAAGAAUACUGGAGUGGGUUGCCAUUUCCUUCUCCAGGGUAUCUUCCCAACCCAGGGAUCGAACCCAGGUCUCCUGUAUUACAGGUAGAUUCUUUACUGUCUGAGUCACCAGGGAAGCUGAUGACUUCCUAUCCCUAUCCCUAUGAGUCCAUAGCCUAUCCCUUCUCCAAGGAAUCUUCCCGAUCCAGGAAUCAAACUGGGGUCUCCAGCAUUGCAGGUGGAUUCUUUACCAGCUGAGCUACCAGGGAAGCCUUCUGAUUUAACCUGCUCUCCAUCAAAUGAAAACAAGUCUCUUCAUCACCCUUGCUCCAGCCCCUUCAGGGCACAUCAGUUGCUCUUAAACAUACAGGGUCUUGUGCUGUCUCAGUCCAGUUGUUACACAGUGUUUUCUGAAGGUCAGAAGUCUUAUUUCUAUGCUCCCAAUUUACUUCUUAGUAUGAAAAAACCCUUACAGUGUAAUAACUUUCCUAGAAUAUUAAGCCUGCUGUGUCUAAUUAACCAAGCCUGCUAUAGAUCUUUUUUCUUCUCUAGUUACUUCAAAUAUUUCUCCCAGGACAUAGUUUCUAAUCAACCAUAAUCAAUCAACAAUCAACUAUCUUCCUCCUCAUCCUAACAACUAGAUCAAUUAUAAUAGUCCUCCCUGAAAGAUCACACUGGAACACAACAAAAUUCUCUGUGUGGUCUAAUUAGCACAAGCAAUCAUUUCCAUGAUCUACACAGUCUAAUAUCUUAUUAGAUGUUAAUAAUAUAUUAGAUAAGUAGUGUCUCUCUUUUGAGAGAGACUUUUGACAACUCUUUGAACCUGUGAUGUGACAGGUCCAUCAGAACCACAGAUGUUCUUCAAAAACUGCUAGCAAACCAUGUCUUUGUUAUUUUCACAUGUGUAUUUAACUUACUGAUGCAAAUUAAGGGCGAGUUUACUCUGAAGUUUUGUUUUGGAGGCUUUGGAAUCAUCAUCCCAACUUGUGGAGGUAAUAAAUAGAAUUUUGAUUGUAAUCAAAAUGUGCUUUAUUUGUCUUUGCUUUGUGUCAUCUAAUUCAGUCGCUGACUUAAAAAGAUGCAGUACCAAGGGUUAAAGCCUAUGUAACUCCAUUAGAGGCCUCCACCUGGAUGGAC